AAUUGAAUUCUCCGUGAAGAUGCGGAGUACCCGCGGUUAGACGGAAAGACCCCGUGCACCUUUACUACAGCUUCACACUGGCAUUAGGCCGAACAUGUGCAGGAUAGGUGGUGGGCUUUGAAACCGGAACGCUAGUUUCGGUGGAGCCUCCCUUGAGAUACCACCCUUGUUCUGCUUGAUGUCUAACCGCGGUCCGUUAUCCGGAUCCGGGACCCUGUGUGGCGGGUAGUUUGACUGGGGCGGUCGCCUCCUAAAUGGUAACGGAGGCGCGCAAUGGUGGGCUCAGGCCGGUCGGACAUCGGCUGCUGAGUGCAAUGGCAUAAGCCCGCCUGACUGCGAGA
rnacentral:rRNA from 1 species